GUUUAAAUAUGCUGCAAGAAGGAUGUGAUAGUCAGACCUCAGGAGAAUCCUUUCAAAAUCUUCUUGAGCAGAUAGAGAACAUUACAGCUCAAAUGCUUUCUGUGACUACAGUGACCAGCAUUUUCACUUUGGCCUUCAACGCUUCAGAGAAGAUUUUAGAGACAUCAUCAUCAGCCAACACAACUGAACUAGCCUCCUAUGGAAACCACAUGUUAAAAGCCAGCGAGAAACUCAUAUCUACAUUGGUGAAGCCAACAGACAAAAGUGACAAUGACAAUUUUA